rnacentral:rRNA from 1 species
AGAGUUUGAUCAUGGCUCAGAACGAACGUUGGCGGCGUGGAUUAGGCAUGCAAGUCGAACGAGAACCACUGGGCAACUGGUGGGGAAAGUGGCGAAAGGGGCAGUAAUGUAUGGGUAACCUACCCUGGGGACCGGGAUAGCUAUCCUAACGGAUAGGUAAUACCGGGCGAUGUAGCGAGAUCGCAUGUUCUUGCUACCAGAUGAAUUUCGCCCUGGGAGGGGCUCAUAUCGUAUUAGCUUGUUGGUGAGGUAACGGCUCACCAAGGCUAAGAUGCGUAGCGGGUGUGAGAGCACGACCCGCGCCACUGGCACUGAGACACUGGCCAGACUCCUACGGGAGGCUGCAGUCGAGGAUCUUCGGCAAUGGGCGCAAGCCUGACCGAGCGACGCCGCGUGUGCGAUGAAGGCCUUCGGGUUGUAAAGCACUGUCGAGGGGGAGGAAGCUCCGCAAGGGGUUGACCUAUCCCUGGAGGAAGCACGGGCUAAGUUCGUGCCAGCAGCCGCGGUAAGACGAACCGUGCGAACGUUGUUCGGAAUCACUGGGCUUAAAGGGCGCGUAGGCGGUCCAUCAAGUCUGGGGUGAAAUCUUUCGGCUUAACCGGAAAAGUGCCUGAGAUACUGAUGGACUUGAGCGAGAUAGGGGGAGCUGGAACUUCCAGUGGAGCGGUGAAAUGCGUUGAUAUUGGAAGGAACUCCGGUGGCGAAAGCGAGCUCCUGGAUCUCUUCUGACGCUGAGGCGCGAAAGCUAGGGGAGCAAACGGGAUUAGAUACCCCCGUAGUCC